UUACGGUCAAAUCACGCUGAAAACACCGGUUCUCGUUCGAUCACCGAAGUUAAGCAUCGUAGAGCCAGGCCUGUACUUAGAUGUGGG